rnacentral:lncRNA from 1 species
GAAUAUUUAGACUUAAGGAAAGAGAUUAUAUCUCGACUUCAUGUUCAUUUGCGAAUACAAUUUCUUAUCGUUCUUGUAUUCGCUCUUUACAAUCGUUUAUUUCCUUAACAUAUCGCUUUUAUUAUUUCAUUUAUUCAGUCUGGUUAUCCGGCUUCUACAAUCUUAACUCUAAUUUCGCUUUCUAUUUAAAGCGUUUAAUCGGAUUAAAAAACGGUUCAACAAAGAUUUGUUAACGGUUUUUAGAACGCUGCUUGCGAUUUGCUCUGUAGCAUUUCCGCAAAACGUUCUAUUUAUUGAUAUAAACCUUUUCUAGUUUCGUUCAAAACGAUGUUUGCGAUUUGCUCUUUGCUUAUCCGCGAAACGUUUCUUUGUUCUUUUGUAAACGUGUUUGCGAAUUGCUAUGUAUUUCAUAAC